rnacentral:misc_RNA from 1 species
AAAAGAAAUCGCUCCAAUAAUGGCAGGGUACUGGGAGAAGGCCGAGUUUCCAUAUCAUGUUAUUCCUAAACUUGGUUCCCUGGGUGUUACUGGUGGGACGAUAAAGGGCUAUGGAUGUCCUGGACUCUCCAUUACCGGGAGUGCUUUUGCUAUCGCAGAACUUGCCAGGGUGGAUGCAAGUUGUUCUACUUUUAUUUUGGUGCAUUCUUCUUUGGCAAUGCUUACAAUUGCACUCUGUGGAUCGGAGGAACAAAAGCAAAAAUAUUUACCUUCCUUGGCAAAGUUUGACACUGUUGCAUGUUGGGCUUUGACUGAGCCUGAAAAUGGAAGUGAUGCCAGUGGUUUAAGAACAACAGCAACAAAGGUUGAAGGAGGUUGGCUAAUAGAGGGGAAAAAACGCUGGAUAGGAAACAGCACGUUCGCUGAUUUAUUGGUUAUAUUUGCCAGGAAUACAAUUACAAAUGAAAUAAACGGAUUUAUAAUCAAGAAAAAUGCCCCUGGUCUGAUGGUUACAAAGAUAGAAAAUAAAAUUGGUUUGAGGAUCGUUCAAAAUGGAGACAUUGUAAUGAAUAAAGUUUUUGUGCCUGAUGAAGAUAGGUUACCUGGUGUAAAUUCUUUCAAGGAUACAAACAAGGUUCUAGCGGUUUCGCGUGUAAUGGUUGCCUGGCAACCCAUUGGCAUAGCAAUGGGCGUUUAUGACAUGUGUCACAGAUAUUUGAAGGAGAGGGAACAAUUUGGAGCACCGUUAGCAGCUUUUCAAGUUAACCAACAGAAACUUGUUCUCAUGCUGGGAAAUGUUCAAGCAAUGUUCCUUAUUGGUUGGCGACUUUGCAAAUUAUAUGAAAAGGGCACGAUGACUCCAGGUCAAGCUAGUUUGGGGAAGGCAUGGAUCACUCUGAGAGCUAGGGAAACUGUUGCUCUAGGACGUGAGUUGCUUGGAGGCAAUGGGAUUUUAUCAGACUUUCUAGUUGCAAAGGCAUUUUGUGAUUUGGAACCAAUCUAUACAUACGAAGGUACGUACGACAUCAACACUUUGGUAACUGGCAGAGAAAUAACUGGGCUUGCCAGUUUCAAGCCCGUUGCUCUAUCCAAAAGAAGCCGCCUAUAAAUCUUUUUUGCUGAUGCAUUGCACACACUGGCUGGUGAGCAAACCAAUUAUAUUAUCUAUAAAUAAAAUAUGUGUAUUUAGUUUCGCAUGGAUUCUCUCUGCCG